rnacentral:rRNA from 1 species
CGGAGGAAAAGAAACUAACCAGGAUUCCCUUAGUAGCGGCGAGCGAACCGGGAAAAGCCCAAUAUGAAAAGCCUUUACAGGCGUUGUAUUUUGAGCAGACUGGAGGCGUCAGUUCAGGUAAGUGGCAUGGAAAUGUCUACCGUGGAGGGUGAAAGUCCCGUCCAACCUGGGCAACGACGUUCUCGUACAGGUCUGUUUCAGUCGAGUCGGGUAGCUUGGGAAUGCUGCUCUAAUCGGUGGUAAAUCUCAUCGAAGGCUAAAUACUGGUGGGAGACUGAUAGCAAAAAAGUACCGUGAGGGAAAGAUGAAAAGCACUUUGAAAAGAGAGUGAAAAGAACCUGAAACCAUUCUGUGGGAAGCGUAUUGCAUCACAAUGAGAGACGUUUGCAUGUUCAACCUUUCGGGGUGCAUUCAUGUAGAGGUCUAUCUGUCGUGGGCUUGUGGGCAGUCGAUUUUAUUUUGGGCUGCCUCAGGCUGAGGGCUCCGCGAAAGCGUUGAGGACGACAGAGGGACGAUGCGAUUCGACCCGUCUUGAAACACGGACCAAGGAGUCUAGCACAUCUGCGAGUCAAAGGGUGUUUAAACCCCAGGGCGCAGUGAAAGCAAAUUUGUUCCAUAAAACGAGCAGUUUGAGGCGGCAUACGAUCGUUGAUUGUAAGUCUGACCUAGAGCAAAUGUGCUGGGACCCGAAAGAUGGUGAACUAUGCCGGAGUAGGGCGAAGCCAGAGGAAACUCUGGUGGAGGCUCGUAGCGGUGCUGACGUGCAAAUCGCUCGUCCAACUCGGGUAUAGGGGCGAAAGACUAAUCGAACCAUCUAGUAGCUGGUUCCCUCCGAAGUUUCUCUCAGGAUAGCGGGCAGACUGACGUUGUUUUGUGCGGUAAAGCGAAUGAUUAGCGCACUCGGGGGCUUUUAGCCUUCGGGCGAUUCUCAAACUUUAAAUGCGCAAGGGUGCCGCUGCUUUAUUGAGCGGUACCGUUAAAAACGUCUGCCCUGUGGGCCACUUUUGGUAAGCAGAACUGGCGAUACGGGAUGAACCGUAAGCGUGGUUAAGGCGUCAAAUUAUCCGCUCAAAGAACCCAAAAAAGGUGUUGAUUCAUCGAGACAGCAGGACGGUGGCCAUGGAAGUCGGAAUCCGCUAAGGAGUGUGUAACAACUCACCUGCCGAAUGAAUUAGCCCUGAAAAUGGAUGACGCUUAAGCGGAUAGCCGACACCACGCCGUCUGAUCAAAGUGGACUCAGAUGAGUAGGAGGGCGUGGCGGUCGUAUGGAAGCGUCCGUGCGAACGGGCGUGAAACGGCCGCUAGUGCAGAUCUUGGUGGUAGUAGCAAAUAUUCAAGUGAGAUCCUUGAAGGACGAAGCGGGGAAGGGUUCCACGCGAACAUUGAUUGAGCGUGGGUGAGUCGUUCCUAAGCCGAGUGGUCAUAGCUAAUUACCGGCGAAAGGGAAGCGGGUUGACAUUCCCGCACGCGGAUGUGGAGGCGGCGACGCCGAAUGAGGUGAUGACGUUGGCGGUGGCUCUGGGCAGAGUUUUCUUUUCUGUUUGACCGUCUCUGUACACUGUGUGGAAUCCGCUUGUCGGGAGAAACACGCGUGCAUGGGCAUAGCGCCGGGGCUUUUCCGGCGUCCAGAUCGCCACCGACGACCCUUGAAAAAUCACCCGCUGAAAUAUUCAAUCCACGCCGCGGCGUACCGAUCACCGCAUCAGGUCCCCAAGGUGAACAGCCUCUGUUCAAUAUGAAAAAUGCAGGUAAGGGAAGUCGGCAAAUUAGACCCGUAACUUUGGGAAAAGGGUUGGCUCUAGUGCUGCGUGGGAGUGGUUGUUGUAUUUUGGCUGCCUCAGCUGGGCACUUUGUUGCGGAGAGCCUUGUGUUUUCUGUGACAUCGAGUCUGGUCGGAGUAGCUGAGUGCGACGACGCCCACAGCAUGCAGCAGACUAGAACUGCAACGGGCAAAGGGAAUCCGACUGUUUAAUUAAAACAAAGCAUUGCGACGGCCGUGGCCGGUGUUGACGCAAUGUGAUUUCUGCUCAGUGCUCUGAAUGUCAAAGUGAAGAGAUUCAAUCAAGCGCGGGUAAACAGCGGGAGUAACUAUGACUCUCUUAAGGUAGCCAAAUGCCUCGUCAUCUAAUUAGUGACGCGCAUGAAUGGAUUAACGAGAUUCCUACUGUCCCUAUCUGCUUCUAGCGAAACCACAGCCGGGGGAACGGGCCCGGCGAAAUCGGCGGGGAAAGAAGACCCUGUUGAGCUUGACUCUAUUCUAAUUUUGUGAGGCGAGUUGGGAGGUGUAGCAUAGGUGGGAGUGCUUGCACGUCCGUGAAAUACCACUACUCCCAAUCUCGCCUUACUUACCGGGUUGGUGUGGGUGAGUCUUCGGACUCUUUUUUUGAGCCAAUGUCCAUUUUUUAUGGGCAGACCACCGCCCGGCACACAUUUAGGAGGGGAGUUUGGCUGGGGCGGCACAUCUUCUACAAAACAACGAAGGUGUCCAAAGAUGAGCUCAGUGAGAACAGAAAUCUCACGUAGCGCAAAAGGGUAAAAGCUCGUUUGAUUUUGAUUUCCAGUGCGAGUCGAAAACGCGAAAGCGUGGCCUAUCGAUCCUUUUAUGUUUCGAGAUUUGAAGCAAGAGGUGUCAGAAAAGUUACCACAGGGAUAACUGGCUUGUGGCGGCCAAGCGUUCAUAGCGACGUCGCUUUUUGAUCCUUCGAUGUCGGCUCUUCC